rnacentral:rRNA from 1 species
ACGGGGCGCAGCAGGCGCGAAAACUUCGCAAUGUGCGAAAGCACGACGAGGGAAUCCCAAGUGCUGGCUCGUUAGAGUCAGCUGUUUUUAUGUCUAAAAAGCAUAGAGAGUAAGGGCUGGGUAAGACGGGUGCCAGCCGCCGCGGUAAUACCUGCAGCUCUAGUGGCGGCCGCUAUUAUUGGGCCUAAAACGUCCGUAGCCGGCUUAUUAAAUGCCUGGGUAAAUCGUACGGCUUAACCGUACGAAUUCCGGGUAGACUGAUAGGCUUGGGACCGGGAGAAGCUAGAGGUACUCCUGGGGUAAAGGUGAAAUUUUGUAAUCCUAGGGGGACCACCAGUGGCGAAGGCGUCUAGCUAGAACGGGUUUGACGGUGAGGGACGAAGCCCUGGGGAGCAAACGGGAUUAGAUACCCCGGUAGUCCAGGGUGUAAACGCUGCUUGCUUGAUGUUAGUCGGGCUCCGAGCCCGAUUAGUGUCGGAGAGAAGUUGUUAAGCAAGCUGCCUGGGAAGUACGGCCGCAAGACUGAAACUUAAAGGAAUUGGCGGGGGAGCAC